UACGGGGGGGGCAAGCGUUGUUCGGAAUUACUGGGCGUAAAGGGCGCGUAGGCGGUUCGUUAAGUUGGAUGUGAAAACUCUGGGCUCAACUCAGAGCCUGCAUUCGAAACUGACGAGCUAGAGUUCUGGAGGGGGUAGCGGAAUUCCUGGUGUAGCGGUGAAAUGCGUAGAUAUCAGGAGGAACACCGGUGGCGAAGGCGGCUACCUGGACAGAAACUGACGCUGAGGCGCGAAAGCUAGGGGAGCAAACAGG
rnacentral:rRNA from 1 species